GGAGAAGUGGCUCAGUGGUAGAGUGUGUGCUUAGCAUGCACGAGGUCCUGGGUUCAAGCCCCAGUGCUUCCA
rnacentral:tRNA from 1 species